UACGUAGGUGGCGAGCGUUAUCCGGAAUUAUUUGGCGUAAAGAGCGCGCAGGUGGUUGAUUAAGUCUGAUGUGAAAGCCCACGGCUUAACCGUGGAGGGUCAUUGGAAACUGGUCGACUUGAGUGCAGAAGAGGGAAGUGGAAUUCCAUGUGUAGCGGUGAAAUGCGUAGAGAUAUGGAGGAACACCAGUGGCGAAGGCGGCUUCCUGGUCUGUAACUGACACUGAGGCGCGAAAGCGUGGGGAGCAAACAGGAUUAGAUA
rnacentral:rRNA from 1 species